rnacentral:misc_RNA from 1 species
GAUGAAGAACGCAGCGAAAUGCGAUAAGUAAUGCGAAUUGCAGAUUUCAGUGAGUCAUCGAAUCUUUGAACGCACAUUGCGCCCGCCAGUAUUCUGGCGGGCAUGCCUGUUCGAGCGUCAUUUCAACCAUCAAGCCCCCGGGCUUGCGUUGGGGCCCUGCGGCUGCCGCAGGCCCCGAAAAGCAGAGGCGGGCUCGCCGUCACACCGAGCGCAGUAGCGAUUCUCGCUCCGGGCGUCGGCGGCGGGCACCGGCCGUGAAACCCCCCCACAUCCACAAGGUUGACCUCGGAUCAGGUAGGAAUACCCGCUGAACUUAAGCAUAUCAAUAAGCGGAGGA